rnacentral:rRNA from 1 species
UACGUAGGGGGCAAGCGUUGUCCGGAAUCAUUGGGCGUAAAGAGCGUGUAGGCGGCCCGGUAAGUCCGCUGUGAAAGUCCAGGGCUCAACCCUGGGAUGCCGGUCGAUACUGCCGGACUAGAGUUCGGAAGAGGAGAGUGGAAUUCCACGUGUAGCGGUGAAAUGCGUAGAUAUGUGGAGGAACACCAGUGGCGAAGGCGACUCUCUGGGCUGUAACUGACGCUGAGGCGCGAAAGCGUGGGGAGCAAACAGG